rnacentral:rRNA from 1 species
CGGUAAUUCCAGCUCCAAUAGCGUAUAUUAAAGUUGUUGCAGUUAAAAAGCUCGUAGUUGAAUUUCUGGCCCACUGGCAGCUCUUUCAGGGCUCGCACAGUGAGGUCAUCCCCUUCGAAAUAAAGAUACGCACUUAGGUGGGCGGUCUGGUUUUCAAGGAUUUUACUUUGAAAAAAUUAGAGUGUUUCAAGCAGGCGUUUGCUGGAAUACAUUAGCAUGGAAUAAUAGAAGAUGACCUUGUAAUCAUUUUAUUGGUAACAUUGGUACGAGGUAAUGAUUAACAGGGACAGUUGGGGGCAUUAGUAUUUAAUUGUCAGAGGUGAAAUUCAUUGAUUAAUUAAAGACUAACUUAUGCGAAAGCAUUUGCCAAGGAUGUUUUCAUUAAUCAAGAACGAAAGUUAGGGGAUCAAAGACGAUCAGAUACCGUCAUAGUCUUAACCAUAAACUAUACCGACUAGGGAUUGGUGAGGAUUUACGCCUCAUCAACACCUUAUGAGAAAUCAAAGUCUUUGGGUUCUGGGGGGAGUAUGGACGCAAGGCUGAUACUUAAAGGAAUUGACGGAAGGGCACCACCAGGAGUGAAGCCUGCGGCUUAAUUUGACUCAACACGGGAAACUUACCAGGUCCAGACAUAGUAAGGAUUGACAGAUUGAUAGCUCUUUCAUGAUUCUAUGGGAGGUGGUGCAUGACCGUUUGUAGGGGGUGGAGUGAUUGGUCUGGUUAAUUGCGUUAACGAGCGAGGCCUUAUCCUGCUAAAUAGUUACGCAUAACUUCGGUUUCGCGGGCAUCUUCUUAGAGGGACUUGGUGUUUCUAUCGCAAGGAAGUUUGAGUCAAUAACAAGUGUGUGAUGACGUUAGAUGUUGUGGGUUGCACGCUCGGUUCAUUGAUGCACUCAGCGAGUUUAUGAUCUUCGCCUGGAAGGGUUGGGUAA